rnacentral:tRNA from 1 species
UCCCAAAUAGUCUAGGCGGUUAGGAUACGUGGCUUUCACCCACGCGACCCGGGUAGGAGGCCCGGUUUGGGAA